CUGUCCCGUCUAGUGCUAAUGCAGCGCAGCAGCGGCGGCCGUGUCCAGUCGCCACGACGAGAAUGAAUGAACCGCAACAGCCCCCUUCUUGCACACGAUCCGACGAGCUGGGAGCUCCAAGCUCCCAACUAUCUCCGCGUUUUGUCGGAAAAUCUAGUAGAGGCUGUACAUAUGUAGGGAUGGCGGUUGAGUUGAGAUACCUACAUACUAACCUCAGCUCGGGGUUACUUGCUUAGUGCUCUUAUUGUGCUGGUAACCGCCACGACGUAGAUCAGCAGCGGGGGAUCAGAAUUGCACGAGUGGCUUUGUCCGAUCGAGUAUAAGUCAGCGAAGUGUUGAUGCAGUCAAUUGUACGGAACAGAAGCUGCACGAUGUGGAUUUUCUCUGCCAAAAAAGGCACACAUCGGCAGGCUGAUAAAAUACGGCAGAUUACAGUGGACUGGAUAUGUCGUGCCUAUGCCGAAAGAGGAACCAGCAAAAGUCAUGAUUAGUAGAGAACCUGGAAGAGGACGUCGGCUCCGGGGUAGAUACCGCACUCGCUGGCGUGCGGCCGGCGUGCAAAGAGACUGGCGACUACCAGCCUGGAACAAGACAUUACAUUCGGUUUAGCUCCGGACAACACGGAGUGUACGACCAUCAUAGUUAUAGCAACGAGCUUUAUUUGAUCUAGCAUCCAUUUCAAUUUUCCUUCCAUUCCUCCUCCUCUCUCCUUAUCUCGAUGGACCCUUCAAUAUCGAAAUGUGGAGAGACAACUGUAGGGG